rnacentral:rRNA from 1 species
AGUCGAGCGCAGGAAGCUCACGGAACUCUUCGGAGGGAAGUGAAGGGAAUGAGCGGCGGACGGGUGAGUAACACGUAAGGAACCUGCCCCAAGGAUUGGGAUAACUCCGAGAAAUCGGAGCUAAUACCGAAUAGUUCUUCAGACCGCAUGGUCUGAUGAUGAAAGGCGCUCCGGCGUCACCUUGGGAUGGCCUUGCGGUGCAUUAGCUAGUUGGUGGGGUAAUGGCCCACCAAGGCGACGAUGCAUAGCCGACCUGAGAGGGUGAUCGGCCACACUGGGACUGAGACACGGCCCAGACUCCUACGGGAGGCAGCAGUAGGGAAUCUUCCACAAUGGACGAAAGUCUGAUGGAGCAACGCCGCGUGAGUGAUGAAGGUUUUCGGAUCGUAAAACUCUGUUGUAAGGGAAGAACAGGUAUGAGAGGUAAUGCUCAUGCUAUGACGGUACCUUACGAGAAAGCCACGGCUAACUACGUG